AACAAUCUCAUCCAUCGAUCUUCUUCUUCUCCCCCUACCUUCACCGUUCUCACCUCCAUGAACACCAUCACCUUCGACUACCAUCAUCGAUCAUCUACAAUAUAAAAGUUAUUUUGCCUCUAACACCGAUCAACCACCAACUAGCUACCAGCUAACUGUUAGUAUAAAAGUCGUUCCACCAAAGUCACAUAACUGCCCAAAACGCAAGUGUAAUUACAUUGAAUCUUCAACAAAAAUCAAAAGUUGAUUUCAAAUCCCCCAUGAAUAUAUCCUCCAAAACUUGAUUUCACUAUUUCUGAAAAAACUCGUGAAAUUAUUUUUACAAUUACAAAACUCACUUUUGAUUUUGGUCUAUAAACAGAGGAGAGAAAAUUAUUGGUGAUAGGUGAUGAGAUGUCCAUGGGACCAUGAUGAAAGACAGUGAGGAACUCAAAGGUUUAGAAAGAGAGUUUUUUGCUUAGAGAGAGUAACAUGGAAGAACAAGAUGAAAAUGAAAGGCCUCAAUCUUGUCCAAGUAUAGAGAUUCAAUAAUCCCAAAAUUAUUUUUAAAGGACUAAGUUCAUCUUCGGAUCUUGUCGGCGGAGGACAGUCGGCGGCAGGUUUAUAAAUGGGAGUAAGAAAAUAGUGGUGUUGUUGGAAUUGUGGGGGAGAACAGUCGGCGAAGGGCGGAGGAGAAGAAAGGAA
rnacentral:lncRNA from 1 species